rnacentral:rRNA from 1 species
UUUUUAGAUCUACCUGGAGGAGCUUGCUAUCUAACCGAUAACCCACGAUAAACCUUACCAGCCUUAGAAAAAUCCAACUUGUAUACCAUCGUCGUCAGUCUACUUCUCAAGAAAGUAUACACAAUGAAAAAUUUCUUCUUUACGUCAGAUCGAGGUGCAGUUCAUAAGCUGGGGAUAAGUGAGCUACAAUAAUUAAACCAUAAACCUAAUUUUGAACAACUUUAUGAAAAUAAAAGUUUGAAACAGGAUUCAGAAGUAAUUCCCAUCAGAAAAUGGUAAUAAACAACUAAGCUCUAAAAUGCGC